CAACUACUCCCUCCGUCCGGAAAUACUUGUCAUCAAAAUGGAUAAAAGGAAAUGUAUCUAGACGUAUUUUAGUUUUAGAUACAUCUCUUUUUAUCCAUUUUGAUGACAAGUAUUUUCGGAUGGAGGGAGUAGAAA
rnacentral:pre_miRNA from 1 species